UACAGAGGUCCCAAGCGUUGUUCGGAUUCACUGGGCGUAAAGGGUGCGUAGGCGGUCGGGUAAGUCUGAUGUGAAAUCUCCAAGCUCAACUUGGAAAUGGCAUCGGGUACUAUUCGGCUCGAGGAAUGGAGGGGAGACUGGAAUACUUGGUGUAGCAGUGAAAUGCGUAGAUAUCAAGUGGAACACCAGUGGCGAAGGCGAGUCUCUGGACAUUUCCUGACGCUGAGGCACGAAAGCCAGGGGAGCAAACGGG
rnacentral:rRNA from 1 species